UAUAAGUUCAGAUUCGCAGUGCCUUAUGAGCCUGCCCUCUUUUAUUAUAGUUUUCAGUCUGUGUCACAAAGCUAGAUUUCACUUGAACACAUCCAAUACAUAUUGUGCAAGAUAUUUACAGUUCUACACUGUUGAGCGGCCUGAGUACUAUAAGACUUUCCAGCAAUUAUCACAACGAUGAUAACCUGACAAGUAUUUCCUUUGAGGCGUGUACAUGUUAUCUCCUUUCACCCCCAC
rnacentral:lncRNA from 1 species